rnacentral:rRNA from 1 species
GAGGGUGCGAGCGUUAAUCGGAAUUACUGGGCGUAAAGCGCUCGUAGGUGGCAUGCCAAGUCAAGGGUGAAAUCCCUGUGCUCAACAUGGGAACUGCCUUUGAAACUGGUAAGCUGGAGUGUGUGAGAGGAUAGUGGAAUUCCAGGUGUAGGAGUGAAAUCCGUAGAUAUCUGGAGGAACAUCAGUGGCGAAGGCGACUAUCUGGCACAUAACUGACACUGAGGAGCGAAAGCGUGGGUAGCAAA